UGGAAAGGGAACGGGAUUGUAGUUACGACAUGAGAAACAUUUUUGAUAUCAUCUAUAUAACAGACAUUCCAUAACGGUAAACCAAAUCGUAAUGGCGUCCGUAAAAUUUCCUAAGUCAUGAAUUCAGCUUCCCAAUGCUUCACUAUUGGGAAGCUGAAAUCAACUCUUUUGUCGUAAAGUUUUGUUUUCAACCGACCCUCA
rnacentral:lncRNA from 1 species